rnacentral:rRNA from 1 species
UACGAAGGGGGCUAGCGUUGCUCGGCAUUACUGGGCGUAAAGGGCGCGUAGGCGGGUGUUUAAGUCAGGGGUCAAAUCCCAGGGCUCAACCCUGGAACUGCCUUUGAUACUGGGCACCUAGAGUUCGGGAGAGGUGUGUGGAACUCCGAGUGUAGAGGUGAAAUUCGUAGAUAUUCGGAAGAACACCAGUGGCGAAGGCGACACACUGGCCCGAUACUGACGCUGAGGCGCGAAAGCGUGGGGAGCAAACAGG